GAUGAACGCUGGCGGCGUGCCUAAUACAUGCAAGUCGAGCGAACGGACGAGAAGCUUGCUUCUCUGAUGUUAUCGGCGGACGGGUGAGUAACACGUGGAUAACCUACCUAUAAGACUGGGAUAACUUCGGGAAACCGGAGCUAAUACCGGAUAAUAUUUUGAACCGCAUGGUUCAAAAGUGAAAGACGGUCUUGCUGUCACUUAUAGAUGGAUCCGCGCUGCAUUAGCUAGUUGGUAAGGUAACGGCUUACCAAGGCAACGAUGCAUAGCCGACCUGAGAGGGUGAUCGGCCACACUGGAACUGAGACACGGUCCAGACUCUUACGGGAGGCAGCAGUAGGGAAUCUUCCGCAAUGGGCGAAAGCCUGACGGAGCAACGCCGCGUGAGUGAUGAAGGUCUUCGGAUCGUAAAACUCUGUUAUUAGGGAAGAACAUAUGUGUAAGUAACUGUGCACAUCUUGACGGUACCUAAUCAGAAAGCCACGGCUAACUACGUG
rnacentral:rRNA from 1 species